rnacentral:rRNA from 1 species
UGAUGCCUACGGGAGGCAGCAGUGAGGAAUAUUGGUCAAUGGCCGGAAGGCUGAACCAGCCAAGCCGCGUGAAGGACGAAGGUGCCAAGUAUUGUAAACUUCUUUUGUCAAGGGACAAAAUCAGGCUCGAGAGCCUGACCGAGGGUACUUGAAGAAAAAGCAUCGGCUAACUCCGUGCCAGCAGCCGCGGUAAUACGUAGGAUGCGAGCGUUCUCCGGAUUUAUUGGGUUUAA